rnacentral:tRNA from 1 species
UCGCCUGCGGCGUACCGGCGGACGACCCGCGCCUGCGGCGCGCGGCCGGAUGGAUCGUCUCCGCCCAGCAGAGC